GAUUGUUCCACUUUUAACCUCUGACUCACCUUGACUGGAACAGAACACCAUCACCACCUCACUGAUUCACUACAACACUGUGUGUCGGUCUCCAGGCUUUCCACGUUAGUGCUUCAGACCAUAAGCCUGAUGCUCGGUGAGACGGAGAAAGGAGCUGCUCGCUUUAGCGCACUAACGUCCAAGCAGGGAAGCGUGACUGCAGACUUGCUCUUGGCUUUGGUGUGUGUGAUCCUGAGCUAAAGCCUUACAACUGCAAUUCUACAUCUCACACAGAGCUCCUGUUUAUGGUUUAUCAGGC